rnacentral:sRNA from 1 species
CUGUUACAGUGACUUUUUGUUUCUUUAUAGGAACAUUCAGUCUUUCAUAAAGUUAGGUCAUUCUUUUCUGAAGUCUUCUUCCAUUAAAAUUCUUUUAAUUUAACUCAUUUAUACUUGUUACUUGCUUACAGUAUUUAAAGCUGCCACAUUAGUAUUCCCCACCUCACAUGACCUAAAAAAUCAAUGUUUGAGUCCUUUAUCCUCCAGCUUAACUGCAUUUCUGUAUUUCUCCUAGUGGCCCAUUAAUGUCACAAUAUGUUUGAGAUCAAUAUCUAGUAACAAUUUUGUUAAACUGAUGGAAUAAUUAUAAGAAUAAAUGUAGCUCUGUAGUAUUCCAAAUAAAUGAUUGAAGUUGAAAUGUGAUGAAUAUUCUUUUAACAGCCAAAACAUAAAGGAUUUGAGUGUGUGGUUAACUUGGGAACGCAGAGAAUCUCAUCCCCUGCUAGAAGACAUGACGAUAAAACUUUAACUUGUGAUAUACCAGCACUGGACUACAGUGAAAAUGUUGGCAUGCUUCAAACAAAUCUGUCAGUUUACUGGGGGAAUAAUUUUUUACUGGAGAGUACUACCAGAUUUUUUGCCACCAUGUACAAGUGUGAUGUUCUCGCAUCUAGCGAAUGCAGCAUGUGUGUCAACUUGAACUACACCAAGCCUUUCUUGGAGUGCUACUGGUGUCAGGGUUCAUGUCAGCACUCAGCCUUAUGCAAGCAACACGCCUCAGUCACUUGUCCAGCUC